rnacentral:misc_RNA from 1 species
GAUGAAGAACGUAGCGAAAUGCGAUAAGUAAUGUGAAUUGCAGAAUUCAGUGAAUCAUCGAAUCUUUGAACGCACAUUGCGCCCGGCAGUACUCUGCCGGGCAUGCCUGUUCGAGCGUCAUUUCAACCCUCAAGCCCUGCUUGGUGUUGGGGCCCCACGGCUGCCGUGGGCCCUGAAAGGAAGUGGCGGGCUCGCUACAACUCCGAGCGUAGUAAUUCAUUAUCUCGCUUAGGGCGUUGGGCGGCGCUCCAGCCGUUAAAGAACCAUCUUUAACUAAAGGUUGACCUCGGAUCAGGUAGGAAUACCCGCUGAACUUAAGCAUAUCAAUAAGCGGAGGA